rnacentral:rRNA from 1 species
CACGGGGGGAGCAAGCGUUGUUCGGAUUUACUGGGCGUAAAGGGCGCGUAGGCGGCGCGACAAGUCACUUGUGAAAUCUCUGGGCUUAACUCAGAGCGGCCAAGUGAUACUGUCGUGCUAGAGUGCGGAAGGGGCAACUGGAAUUCUCGGUGUAGCGGUGAAAUGCGUAGAUAUCGAGAGGAACACCUGCGGCGAAGGCGGGUUGCUGGGCCGACACUGACGCUGAGGCGCGAAAGCUAGGGGAGCGAACAGG